GGACGGGUGAGUAACGCGUGAGGAACCUGCCUUGGAGAGGGGAAUAACACAGUGAAAAUUGUGCUAAUACCGCAUAAUGCAGUUGGGCCGCAUGGCUCUGACUGCCAAAGAUUUAUCGCUCUGAGAUGGCCUCGCGUCUGAUUAGGUAGUUGGUGGGGUAACGGCCCACCAAGCCGACGAUCAGUAGCCGGACUGAGAGGUUGACCGGCCACAUUGGGACUGAGACACGGCCCAGACUCC
rnacentral:rRNA from 1 species